rnacentral:rRNA from 1 species
GAUGAACGCUGGCGGCGUGCUUAACACAUGCAAGUCGAACGAAGCACUUAAGAUUGAUUCUUCGGAUGACGUCUUUUGUGACUUAGUGGCGGACGGGUGAGUAACGCGUGGGUAACCUGCCUCACACAGGGGGAUAACAGUUAGAAAUGACUGCUAAUACCGCAUAACCCGAUAGGAUCGAAUGAUCCAGACGGAAAAGAUUUAUCGGUGUGAGAGGGACCCGCGUCUGAUUAGCUAGUUGGUGAGGUAACGGCCCACCAAGGCGACGAUCAGUAGCCGGCCUGAGAGGGUGAACGGCCACAUUGGGACUGAGACACGGCCCAAACUCCUACGGGAGGCAGCAGUGGGGAAUAUUGCACAAUGGGGGAAACCCUGAUGCAGCGACGCCGCGUGAGUGAAGAAGUAUUUCGGUAUGUAAAGCUCUAUCAGCAGGGAAGAAAAUGACGGUACCUGACUAAGAAGCCCCGGCUAACUACGUG